UGGGAUCAAAGGUAUUUAUGCUUAUUGUUUUGGCUAUUUUACUUGUGAUAAUAUCUGAGGUUGCAGCUAGGGAGUUGGCUGAGAGCCCCACCAAUUCUAUGGACAAAGCAAAGGUAUUCGAUGAGAAAAAUGAUCAUGUAAAUGA